ACACUUUCUAUGCAUAGAUGUGUAUGUAAUGCCUGUACUGUCUCUUCCUGCUGCCUGAAAUUUAAUUUUUAAGGAUUACUGCCAUUGCCCUGCUGUUAAUGUUAGUGUGGGCUCAGGAAGUGCCAGCAGUGCUGAUCAGAGCACAGAGCAGGUAUUCCAGGUAGAUUCAUGUUGUAUUUACCUCACCUUAAAUGCUCCUCUCUCCAGAUUUGCUGUUGGCCACUGCUGGAAGAAGGUUGGUGUGUUUGGUGGCUUCUCCUCCCGCCCAUGAAUAGCAGCAGUUGGUAGCUCAAUAUUUUCUGUGCACUUAUUCACAGAAAUAGAUUGCAGAAGGUGUUUUGGAUGUGCAUUUUGCACAUGUUUAGUAGUUGCUAGGCUUCCUGAAUCUCACUCUGCAUUCCCUUUCCAACUUGGACAAAAAUGUUGAGGUGUGAAAAUGUCUGAUUUUAUAUUUUUCUAUUUUAUUUAUUUCACUGAUCUUGUCCUACUCCUUCACGAAAUUUCCUAGACUGUUUCAUUAUUGAUAUAUAUUGAUAUGUAACUAUGUGGGCCACUUACAUACCACAGAACAUUGUGCAGUUUGACUUCUCCUGUGGCUCAGAGGCAGUCACUUCCAACACACAGUGCUAUUUUUCCACACAGGUUUCUUCUAAAUUUAAUUUUUAGCUUAAAGUUAUGAAGGUUGAAAAUUUUUAGUAGUUACCUAAAUUAAUCUUUGUCCUCCCUGAAGACACAAACACUUCUUAAUUACAUAGUGGAUUCUAUUAAUUCUGUUUCUUACAAGGAACUGAUUGCUGCAGUCUUCUUCCUUUACUCAAAAAUGGAACAAUCACACAACACCUCAGUCCAUUAUGAAUGUCCUUAUCCGUGGCCCGUGAUCCUGUAUGUCAGGAUUAAAUAAGAGAGAAAAUUAUUCAGUUUAUAAAUCCUCUCAUAAAACCUGGUAUCUUUCUUUUUCUCCCAGUUUUAGAAAAUUCAGAUUCACUCCAUGCUGCUCUCUCCUUCUCAUGGUUAAUGUUGCUUUAUAUCUGGGCAGAAGUAAUUUGUGCAAGACGCAUUGCUUAUAGGACAGUGCCUAAAAAUACUUCAAAAGGUCAUUGCACAUCAGACAGAAGGCAGCACUUGUUCCAGCCACUGGCACUGAGAACGACAGGUCUUUGUUAAUAUUAAUUGUGCAUAUUUUAGACAGUGUAUGCUUUAAAAAUACAUUGCACAAACAUGCGGCGAUGAGCAUUUUGUGAGCCCUGGGACUGGAUAACCGGGGUCAGUUCUUCACUGAUGAUUCAAGCAAUAAAUGUUUGCUGUUCUUAUUAGCUCUGAGGUUUGUGAAUUAGAGCCAUAUUGUGCAUCUGCUUCCAGGAAAGUGGGUAUAUUUUCACGCUCGCCAUUUCCAAAAAUACGAGCAAAAUUAAAAAUAGUAAGAGAGACUUAUAAAGUACCACGAAGAUUCAGAGCUAAUCAUUUGCACAAACAUUCACCAUGAUUGUGCUUAUAAUAGUAAUGAUGUACACAGAACAUGGGAAAAAUCUGCUGGGAGGGCAAGGCCAGAUUGAGUAAAACUGAAAAGUAGCUCCCAACAUGUAACAUACACACAGAGUCAUCUUUUCUGCCAUCCCUUCAAAAUCAAAAGACAUGAUUCUCUGUUCAAGUGGACAUCAUCCAGGAAUGAUGCUUUUACCAAAAAACCCUCUGAGACUUUUUAUGUCUCCAGAGGAAAGGCUGCAAUAUCUGAAAGGCUGUAGGGACAUCAGACAAAGAAACCCUGACACCUGGACACCAUUCCCAUCAAAGCCACCUCACUCGAGCUCACUCGGUUUGUUCUGUAAUUUAUCUUUAAUAAGAAAAUGUUGAAGAGAUCUGAAUCUGGCUGUGCAUCAAAGGCACUGAAGCUGUGCAGGUACAUCAUUGUUUAUAAUGUGACAGUGUUGUGUGGCAAUUUACAACCCAAAGUUAUGUUGCUAUUGACUAUGGCCUGUUUUCUUUUUUUGAAAACUGGUGCAUAAGUUUGUUUACAAUGGUAAUUAUUAACAGGUUUAGAAGCAAAAAAGAAUGCUGGAAGAAUGAAAUGUGGUGAAAGCAACAACGUCACAAGUCUGGAAGGUGAUGCUGUUCAGUGUUGCAGGGCUGUGUCCUUCCUGCGAGUGCUUUGGGAUACCGUGUGCAGAGAGCACAGUGCUGUGGCCCAGCCCUGGCUGGAGGGGCACAGCAUCACUGGCUCUGCUCCAGGUGACCACUGGUGCAUCCUGACCAUCAGACCCCUCAGACUCGAGGUUUAGCCAUAUUUCCCUGAGAAAAUUACAUGUUUUGGUAGAAGAAGUAACCAUGAGGCAGGAGCUGAAAGCUGAAGCUGUGAAACACAAGCCUGGCCCAGUCUGAUGUCAGGGGACAACCUCUGAUGUUUGCAAUGACAUAUGAGCCAUCACUGCUGUUCCUUUGCCUUGCAAUGGCACCAUGACAGAAACCCUGCAGGACCAGGCACUGCAACAGUGCAGAACAAAAAGCUCUCCCUACCCCAAAGAAGUCUGAGACUCAUAAGGUAAUUACUUAUCUUUGUCCAUUAAUUUUCCUUUUUUUUUUUAAGUACCCAGAUAAUAUUGUUUCUCUCCCAGUCUCAAAGUACAGCAACAAAUAAAUGAUUUCAAGUAUCCUCCUGAGAUAGGGAGAACUGAGAUAGAUGUUGCCAGCAGGCACUGAUCCACCUGUGGUGAUGGAAGGUUGAGGGAUUCAUGGGGGAAUGACAGACCUGGAAAGCUGCAGCAUGGCUUUUCUAAAAUGACACAGCCAAAGAUAUUCUAGAGAUUAUAUCCUCCAAAAACUCGGUGGUCAAGGGCUUAAUGACUUAAAUAGCGGUCAAAUGUCUGCUUGUUAUCAAUCACCUGUUACCAGUUGAACUGCAUUAAUGAGGGUUUCUUGAUAAAAGCGGCCUUAUCAUCCGGAACUGAGAUACCCAGCCUAAUGUGCUCCAGCAAGGCUUGAGGAAAUGCUCCUCUUAGCAGCAAAGGAGACGAUGUGUCGCUUUCCUGAAUUAGCCUGAGUCAAAUGGAUGGUCAGGCCCUCCAGAAAGAAGCAAUUUCUUUCACCGCUUGUGUUACAGGGGUGCUUUAUCCAUGAGUCAGAAAGCAUUCUGGCUGUCUUGCAAGAGUUUAGAGUCCAACCAAACACACCUUGGUGGCCAUUUGCAGUGGCCAGGGUUGAAGGUCACAGGGCAGGGUCACUGCACCCUGAGGGAAUGGCACAGGGUUUCACUGUACAUCCCCCUGCCAUAACCACUUACCUCCUUGGAGAAAAUGGGUUGGAAAUGGUAUUUAACAUUGUUGAUGACAAUUUUUCCAGAUUUAUUACCUGUUUUUUGUUCACUGUUUGGCUGCCUGCUCCCCUUCCAUCUGCCAGCCCUGUAAUCCACCUCCUCUUAUCUCAGCACAGUUCGCUCCACCUCUUGCUCGUUUUUGUUUUAUUGCCCAGCUAAUCUCAUUCUCCUGCUUUUCCUGACACUGCUCCCCUCUCCCCAUCUGUGGAGAUUAAAUCACUUCUCCUUUUGUUUGAUGCCGCUCAACAUUCCCCCAUUUCGCUCAGGCUUUGGGAUACUUCCAGGCACUUUUACUGUUGUUGCACACAUCCAUUUUCCUGGCACAAAAAGGCCCAUCAGCAUCUGAUGGAAGCGUUACUGAGUCCUCGUUUCAACCAGUUCUCAGAGGUGUCCUGAAUGUGAAAUGGAGCUGAGCUCAGUCUGCACAGUGCAGCAGAGGCAGGUGUGUGUGUCAGGAACUCCAGGAGCAUCCACAGGGUGCUCAGGGCAGCUCUAGAGUGGUGACAGAGCCUGGCAUCUGAAUAUUAGCCAAGAAAACUCGAGAUCAAAGGCAUGGGGUAAAAAAUCUCCAAGCUACCAAAAUGUGAACUUUUGGAAGUGGUUUUCAAUAUUGUUGGUAAUGUAUCAGUGUAGUCAACCAUCAUCCCUAUUUACGUCUAGUGGCUUGUCAGUGUUCAUGGCCCCAACAGUGUCAUUCUAGUUACUGCUGAGAGUUGCUGGGGGUUUUAGGCUCAAGGUUGAAGCCAGUCUCCCUGUUCAAGGGUGUUAAGUGCAUCCUGGUUUGGGGCACAACUGCAGCUAUGGGGGAGGACAGUGAAUUUUCAUGCUGUGUGUUUCUGGCACCCUUCCACCUUCCUGCAGAGAGAACAGUGCUGGAGACUCCCCUACCAGUAUUUCCUCCUCCUGUGUGACUGUGCAAGUCCACUGACUGCACUGCUGCUCGUAUUGGCUCAGAACUGGAACCAGCAGAGCCUUUAACCCCCUGGCAAACCCUGGACAAUUUCAAAAUGCCUUGCAGGGACCACAUGCACUGACAGGACUCCUCACAGCUGUCAGUCGCUGUUCCUCUUCACUGUGAGCACCACAGAGUGUUUGCUGCCUGAACAAACCCUAAAGUCUUCAAAUAACCCCCCUUUGAGUACAUGGGAGAUGCUUCCCUUAGCAAGGACAGCUGCUGUUUGGCCCUAAUCAUUGAGUUUAGAUGUUUUUUUUAUUCUGUUUGGGUUGUAUCUCUUGCCUUAAUCUCCACUUGCAAUGCUAACCAUGAUGCAUUUGCUAUAUGUCCCCUCACUGCUUUUAUCUACCAACAUGUUUUAAAUAGGUUUAAAGAGUACAGGAGCUAAAAAAAAAAAAAAAAAAAAAAAAAUCAGGCAGCUUCAGAUGAAAGCCAGCAGCAGGCCCUUAAAAAUAGAGUGGCAGCCCUGCACGAGGUGCCGAGUAAGUGGGUGCAUGGGAGGGGAGCGGAGCGGCUGCAGAGGCUCUGUUUAAACAGGAGGUAAAUAAGUGGCUGGGGGAGCUGCAGUUCAUCUUGUUCCCUUACGUGUUGCCCAGAUAAUGCAACAUAUCUUCAGGCAGGCUGGUUCUAAAAAUGGACACAGCUCUUGGGUUUCACUGGGUGACGCUCGGGCUGCGCUGUCCUACAGUCUGUGGGAGCAGUGAAAUGGCAUUUAGUGUUUCAAAAGCAGCAGCAGUACUCAGGUCUUGUCACUGGUACUUUAUGAAGACUUCUAUAAUGAGGAAUGUGUGACUUUAUACCAUGGUACCUAAUGCAGAAGCAGCUGCCUGUAAAUCCCUGGGGUCAGGCAAUGUUUUGUUAAAAUUCCCCUUCCUGCGGUGGUUGACCUGUGAAAACAGCAAUCAUCUGACAGUGAGAGCAGCACUUAAUUAGUAAUUCAGGAUUAAAGUGUUCUGUCCAAUGAGUAAUUUCACAGAAGCAGAGUUUAGAAUUGGAGCUGGUUUAAUAUAACAAAACUAUUGUCAUGAAAGCCUCCUUGGCAUUUUAAUGGUCUUUUUGUCUGGUCUAAAUAUACAUGAGAAGUUGAGAGGAUGUUUAAAUCUGAGCAGGGGAUAAAAGGGACCAAGAGAAAGACUCAAAGGUCUUGUCCAAACUCCACACAGUUGUGUGAGCCACUGCCUUCCCUAGGACAGGGCAUCAUCCCAGGGAGCUGCACUAUUCACCAUUCCUCUUGCUGCUCCAGGAGUGUUAGUGUCUUUAUCUUCCUUCUCACCCUCCUCUCUCCUGCCUAGUUGAGCACAGCUCAGCUGUGCAAAGGAUGAGUAUUUGUUAACCUCCAGUGGCUGCAGUAAUGGUCAACUGGCCCUUCUGUGCUACCAAAGAGACUGUGUUUGGGUUGGGCACAUGCUGCUCACUGACGUGGAGAAUUCUCCAUUUCUUUCUAAAUGAGACUUCUCAGGCUGUCACUGUUCAGCAAAUUCAGGAGAGAAAGGGCAGCAGGGCCCCUUGACCAAACCAUGGCAAGCAUGUUUUGUAGAAGGCAGCAGAGACUGCAGCCUUUCCUGUGGGAAUAAAGUGAUCCUCUGUUGAGUGAAGUGUUGCCUACAAGGUUAAUUAGCUGUAGAAAAUGAGCUCGAAUACUUAGGAGUAAUGAAUCAUAAUGAAUCGUUAUGUUUGAGGAGUGACAAAUUAAAUUCAUGCAUAUUUUGAACUACUUGUUUUAGUCAGAAUGGAAAAUACUGCUAUGCUUUUUUCUGUUGUUCUGCCUUCACGUUGAGAUGUCAGGAAGCAAAUCAACAUGGCCAGAGUUUGUUAAGUCUGGCAGUGCUUGAUUGCACAAUGUUUAAUCUCUCUCCUGAGUCUUUGAGCUGGGCUAGGAGCAGGGGCUUCUCUGGAAUCAGUACAUUUGCCUCCACCUUCAGUAGAUGGGAUUUUGACUUGAAGAAACCCAAAACUUCUCCUAAGCUAAAGAGAAAGAAAAAGUAUUGUCCUAAUCCUGUGAGUGUUAGUGUCCUAUGGCAGCUCUGAUUGAGAUGUAGCAAUCUCAUAUAGGAAAGCAGAUUGAAUUACAGCCCCACCUCCCAGACCAAGGUGAGUCAAGGGACCUAUUUGUAGCAAGAUUCAUCAGAUCCUUCAGCUCCUGCUGUUCCUAGAAGAAUCUCUGGAGUUUUUCUGUGGAAUUAGAUCCAGCAACAUAACAAGCUAAGGGGCAGACAGGCAUUGUAACCUUUGAAAUACCUGGAAAGUAAGGAUUCCAGAAGUAAGACAACUUCUGGAAUCUCAAUGUAAGAUGAAGGACACUGUGAAAAAAGAGGAUCUUAAUAAGAAGAAUUUGUUCUUAGCCCCCUUCAAGGAUCAUAACAUAUCCCUGGGUGAGCUGAAGCCUGACACAAGCUGCUGUGCUUUGGGGUAUUUUUGGUGUGGCCCCAAGGCUCAUCUGGUUCAAGGCUGGAGGAGCUGUGAGCAGGCGGAGGAUUUGAAUUCACAACCUCUCUUUUAAAUAGAUCAGUGAUUCCAGGAGGGCAAGUGAUACUGCUGCAGUGAUUAAGUUCUUUGCUGGAUUGAUGCCUCUGGAAGUGUUUGGAGAGAUUUGACAGAUCUUUCAGUCUGUUGAAGGUUUCCAUGGUGUUGGCCCAACCAUGACUGUGUGAGGCAAACUGUGUCACCCCUGGGAGAAGGCAUCCUUCUCACUCACAGAACAAAGAGCUCUUGGGCGUUCAAAGACAAAAGGUACCAACUGACAUUGAGUUCUGCUACUAAUUAUAUGUCAAAAACUAAUACAAGUUAAGACUAAAUUAGUACACUUCUCCAGAUGUUUUCACAGUUGCCCUGCCUGCAGCACUGUGGGUUAUGUUCUGAGUUGUUAGGUACUCAAACUGGUCCUUCUCAGCUCCGCUGAUGUGGUUGCUCCUGGCAUGAUCAGAUGCAAACUCCCACUUAUUAAGUGCUAUGAAGGAAUCAUUCUGACACAAAGUGGAAAAUUCUCCUUGGGGUUCAGAGCUCUUGCAAGAGGCAGCCAGUGAGGUGGCUGCUUAUAGAGCUGACCCCAUGCUUUGAGAUGUGGAUUCAUAUACAAUAUCUGUGAAAGCAGCUAUUCUUGCUCUUGCCAAACUCCUCAGAAGACCCAUAAAAUGAUGUUAGUUGUAAGCCACAAGCUGGCUCUUAUCUUUGAAUUGUUUUUCUCUGACAAUUUUAAGAAGAGCUCAGCAUGUUCUCAGUAGGAGCUGAUGGAUGCUGAGCACUUCUGAAAUCCUGCCAACUUCAUUUAGGUUCCUAAAUGGGAACUGAGUGCUUUUGAACAUAUGAUCCUAAGGGUGCAUUUCAUAACACUAUAGCUCUGUCCAUAUCAUUUCUUUCCUCUCUCACUGUCCCCAGAAUGCUCCCAGCAGCAGCAAUAACACCAGGAGCACUGGGCUAGUCAAGGCUUGAGUGAUGCCUCAGUUAUGAUGUCAGCUCAAGCCACACUGAACAGAAUUAAAUGACAGCAGUUAAAAGGUGCCUGUCUGCAUCCAGUCUGCAGUAAGGUCACCAUCAUCACUACCAGCAUUAUGGAUAUAUUUGAGAUAGCUGUGGUAGAUUUUAUAUAUAUGUAUGUAUAUGAAAACAAAAAUCUAGUGCAAAUUCUGCCUUGUUUUUCAGAGUAUUUCAUCCCCUGUUUCAGGCCACGUGCACUCUACUCGACAGUGCUCUGACUCUCAAUUUCGGGAUUCAAAUUUUCUCCUAAGUAGGUUCAUGGGGCAGAUAUAAUGAAUAUUUUUUAGUGUUUGUGGAGCAGGGUAGGAGGGCAGAUGAGCCUUUAUCUGAAGCUUUUCCAACAGAGUUAGUGCAUGGACAGCAUCUGUUUUGGUCCUGUGAGGCUGACAUCCUCUCCCAGCAGACUUGGCAGUGAGCAGAAGAACCACAUGUCAAAAAAUCUGGGGGGCCCAUGCGCUGUGGACAAAAGUAUGGCAAAGAAUUUAAACAUCAGUGAGUGGAGUGAUGCUGGAGGGCUGGCUGAAAGCGAUUAGCACAGUGCUCUGGAAUGUGGCGUUUCAAUAGCCGCUCCAGAAGGAUCUGCAGCCCCAUUGACUUCUGCAGCGUCAGGAAAGAGCCCUCACACUCCAGCUUUUGCCAGUGUGAAUGGGAACGUGCAGGGCUGUGUGUGCAAUCACAGAGCUCCCUGCUGUGGCUCUGCACACCCUGCCCUGUGUCCUGCUGAUGGGGGGUUUCCUUUGCUCCACGGGAAUCUGAUGCCCCAGUGACUCAGGUGGCUCUGGGUCCUCGUGCGUUGCCAGAACCCCCCCUUGUCAAAUCUGCAUCAAUAUCAGCUCUAGCUUUGCUGUUUGCCUACCCUGGGCCAAAGCACCAAAGGCCACCUGUGGCCAUGAUCCAGCUGUUGUCAGCUGUGCAGUCAGGUGGUGGGGGGUGUGGAGUUUGGGUGUUUUGUUGCCACGUGUGUCAGUGUGGGGCCUGGGUGUUUUGUUUCCACUGCUGCCGGGUUUUGGCCUCUUUGGGAAUGCACCAAGUGGGACUAAGAAUGUGUCUUUGUUCACAUUCACUUGUUUAAUUUUUUUUCUUUACAUUUUCCUUCCCCCCCCCCCUUCUGAUUUCUAGGUAGAUAAUCAAAGUGUGAAAUAAAUUAAAAAUAAAGCUGGGUAGAAGGCCUGGCUGGUGAGAGCACAUACAUUUUUAGUUGAGGUGGGAGAAGAAUGCGCUCAUUCAAGCCCUCAUGGAGGGCAGGGAAUUCCCUGGCUUUUGUCUAAAUAUGGCAUGAGAGAGCGGAGCACAGGCAGUGCAAUGCUUCACUGAGUAUUGUUUAAAAGGGAGCUUGGCAGUGGCCAGCAAGUAGGAUUCUUGUGAAAACAUGGCACAAGGAGUUGUUUGACAGAUUCUGACAUAGCAAAGUCUUUACAAGGGGCAAAAAAAAAAAAAGAAGGAAAAGAGAGAAACUGCAGAGUACAUGAAGCCAAAAGCAUAGUCUCUGCCUAGAAGAUUGCAGAAUAAAAGGCACUUAGCACUGAGUCACACCCUGCAAGAUCUGUGGGCCUGAUCCUCUCAGUGAUCGAUUGCACUGAGUUAAAAUCCCCUCCUAAAUGAUUGCCUGUUGUCAGUCAUCCAGAAGAGGGGAUGAAGAGGAGUGAGAGCUGGGGAGGAGACUGCCAUGGCUUGCACCCACUCACCAGAGUCUCUAUCUCAGACUUGCCUGGUUGGAUGGACCCAUUCUCUGCCAUCCCAUGUUUCCCCCUGCAGGUAAAUGACGUUUCACUAGCAGGUUUUUGGAUGCAGCACUCAGUCCCAAGCAAUCCCGUGGUUUGUGUAGGUGUCUCCCUUUUGCAAAGCUUAUGCUGAGUUGUGGCUUUGAAUAUCUAUUGCAGCAGUGAGCAAUGAUUCCUGCCUGGAAGAAAACCCCUCUCCCACUGCCUCUGCCACGUCUGGAGACACUGCGAGUCCCUCAGAGAAAAAAGGCCUUUACACAUCUCAGCAAUGGGGAAUUUUGCCUCCAGAAUUCCAAGUCUGCUCUUGAAAUUUGGCCAUUAUGUGAGUGUGUUUUGAGAGAGGGAAAACUUAUCUGGGAUUCAGUGCAUUUAUGGAGGUCUCAGAUGGAGACACUUCACUUGGUAACUCUGCUACUGACACCAGCUACUGAACAGACUGUGUAGCUCAUACAGAGGAGGUCUUGGCUCAGGCUUCCCCAUUUAAAGUGGAACCCUCCCCUAAAUUCACCUUGAAUGCAACAUCCAUGCUCAAUCACAGCUGGAGCUUCCUCACAUCGAAGAUAAGACACUCUUCCUCUGGUUGGUGGUUUGGACGGUGUCCUGCAAUGUAAACUAGAAUGAUAGGAGUAGUCUGUAAUUAGCACAUAACCUCAGGCAGUUUUGUUCCUGAAAUGCAAGGCCUGAGUUGUUCUGCUGCAAUAGCAUUGGUUUAGUCAGUCCAUUAACUGCUCUGCAUCAUGUUAGUGAAAGCUGUUCCCUAAGAGCUGCAAAGGUAUGGAAUAGGAAGCAGGAGUCCCUGAUCCAGUCCUGCAGGCAUCUUCCAGUGAAACCAAAGGGAAGCCCAUCAUAUGUGUUGCCCGUGAGAUGCACUCCAUGGCAAAGCAACGAAGCCCAAGAGUUUCUGGAUCAUCUUAGCAAAGCUCGGGAGAGAGCAAAGGCACGGGAGCACUCCCCUACCCUUUUGAACAUUUCAGUUGAUGUUGUUAAUUGUAGUGGAGCUGCUGCAAAUAUUUUGGAAAGCAAAUAUUUGAUGUCCCCUUCCAGCAGAAAAUAAGUCGAAGGACCAACCUGCUGCCACUCACUUGGUCAUUGCAACAAAACCCGGGCUGAGAAUCAACAGCAACGAUGUUGAGCUUUUGUGGUCACCUCCUCUCCAAACAAGGGCUGUGAUGUGAGAGCAAACAACACCUGCUUGGAGGAACUGGGCACGGGCUGAAAGGGACCUGGUGGGCAGAGGCUGUUUGUGCAGCACUGGGCUCUGGGGUGGGGCUGCUGGCAGAGGCAGGAGGAAGAUGAUAUCUCCAUCAGCCCGUGCUAAUGCGAGAGGCAGAAAUGAGCAAGCUCCUGCCUUCCCUGUGCCCUGGCUGGUGAGUGAUGGACAACGACUCCUCCGUGCCUGCCAGGAGGAAAGCCCUGGAGUGGGACUGCCAUCCAGCCAGUCCUGCUCUUGGCUGGGGUGUGGGUCACAUCAGAGGACAAAUCGAAGGGUUUUCACAAGGAGAAAAUUGGGCAGCUCCUUGUGUGGCGGAGGCAGCAGAUCAGUCACCACUCACAUCUCUGCCCAAGUAUGAAUUCUCUAAGGAAGACCAAUAUCACUUUGCCCUAACUGGAAAGCAGGGGAGAUGGCACGUACUUCAUGUGCUCUGGCUGGGCCCAGAUACCCAAUGUGCAAGUGAUCUGCUUUUGGGUGCUGCUUUUUUUCUUAAUCUUAUUUUUUUGUUGUUGUUUUUAGCCUUCUAAAAACAAACUUGGGAUUCAUCAGCUGGAAGUGAUCUCAUCACAGUACAGAUUCGCUUUCCUGGGAAACUGAACUUCUGGUAUAAUCAUGGGAAAGUCUCACCUUCCCUUUUUUAUUUUCUUUUAACUGAGUUUCUAUUGAAAUUAGCUUGGCAGACCAACACCUCAGAAUGAAAGACACAAAAGAAAACCCUUUGUUACUGCUAUUUUUUUUAAUCUCUUGAUUUUCUUACCAAUCUCGUGAUUUUGAAGAUAGCAAGUGAUAUUUGGAUAUUUUAAAGACACAUAUUCAAAUCUGUGGAGUAGGCAGGGUCCUUAAUAAUACAUUUUACCAACAGUCUGUUUAUCCCACUGCUGGCAAAAAAAUAGAGGCAAACCCUAAUAAUUAAUUACUGCUCUGUCUUUUGUACUGUUCUUUGAACUGCAACAUUUUUGUUCACUCCUACCCUUUUUCUAGCUCUUACAAAUGCUCUGCACAACUGGAAGGUGGCUCAGCAAAGCCAGUGCAGUAUCUCUGUAGCGAAGCAAGGACAGACUUGGCUCCUCUUCAAAGGGAGCUUUUAUCGAGUGUUUAGUGUGAUGUGACAAAGCAGGGAAGUGUGCCAUGGAUGCAAUGCUUCCAAAUCCCCACCUUCUACCUUGAUUGAACUUGAGAACAAUUAUCCCUUGCCAGGGUGAUGAGCCCUACCAAUGUGCAUCUUGUUUACAGCUGUGCUCAGUUUUUAACGCAUUUUCCUGUUUUGGACUAGGACAGCAUGAUUCUGCUUUAUGAACUGGACAAAAUCCAUUUAAAAUAUCAAGUUUCUUGUAUUUUACCACAGGAACCAGAAUGUGGUGUUUUGGGCUGGCAGCCCCAAUGCCCCAGGAUGACAUUGCUCACGUGCGCAAAGUGACGCCUGGACCCCAGCAGACCUGCAAGGUUUCACUGUCAGUGUGGGAAAGGUUUGGAUGGGGCCAGUAGAAACUGAAAAGAUUUAUUCUGGGAUUAUUUUAUUGUGCUUGGAACAAGCAUUUGCUGUCUGGUGUGACUGAGCUUUAGAUGCUGCUGUAAAUUCCAGAUGAAAAUUGCACAGCAUUUGCCAUUCCAUUUUGCCCUAUUUUAUUUUGUGUUUCCUUUUCAUUCCUAGAUUCUGCUUUAUUUCAGUUGAAGGAAGAGCCAAGAUUAUGAUGUGGCACUGAACUUUGCUGAGGAUUCACUGUUUGUCUCUGAAAUCAUCCUCGGACAGCGGUGAGACGCCAGACCCAUCUCCUGGUUGGACUUGGCUCUGUGCUGUGAUUCCAGGACUGGCAUGAGGUCCCUCUCAGCACGUUCCAGGGUGCAGAGGCACCUCUGAGCAGUGAGGAGGGUUUUCCAGCGAGCCCGUGCUGAGGCAGCAUCAGUCCAGCUCUUUGCUGCUUUGCCCACCUCGUGUGUGCAGGAAAAACCUUGGCUCAGCCUGGGCCAGACCCACCUGUGAGCGCGUGGAUGGGGACGUGCCGCGCCGCAGGCUGGGAUGUGCUGCUGGGAAAUAGCGUUGGCUCUUGGCCAGCCUGGAGCAGGGAGGUGGCAGGGAGUGCCUUUGAUGCCUCUGCUCCGGCUGAGCAGUGGCUCUGGGAGGGGUGGCCCCACAGACAGUCACAGCGAGACUCUCCAACAAGCUGUUCCCAUUCCUGCUCAUCGUGGAAGCAGCAGCCCACCUGUUCUCCGCUGUGCUGGAAUAUCAGCCGGCGCCCUGGCUCUGUUGUUUCAGGCUGCAGUGGGUAAUUUUUAAUCCCUCUAUUCAGAGUGUUUCUAGGAACAGGAGGAGAAACAUACGGCAUAUGCUCACCUCGCCUCCCAGGAGGUGUGGGGGAGUGUGUCCCAGCAGCUGCUGGGGUAAUCCUUGUCCUUCUGUCCCCAGCCACAUCUGAGAGGUGUGCCCAGCAUGUCUGGGCAUCACCCUGCAAGCAGGUGGGCUCCACUGGCUGGGCAGGGCUGAAGGGGGCAAAGUCCCUUCCUCCCUUCUGCAGCCAACAGGGGCAUGGACAAGGGCAUGUGCAGGGCACAGGAACUGGAGAAGUGACUCCAUCCUCUCCUGGGUUUCCCUGAGGCAGACCAGUUCCACGGUGGUGCGGGGGGCACCUCAAAGGCACAGGUUAUCCCUCCACAGUCACACUGGGGCUUUUAGGGUACAGGUGCCAUGAGUGUUUGAAAGUUGCUUGGAUUAAGGACUCACAUUUGGCCAAAGAGGGUCUCUGGUGAGAUCUGGGCUGGAUGCAGCUGUGAUCUUAAAGCACACAAGGUAUCUGCAGGCGUAGAGAGGGGGGAGCAGGCUGAGUGCUCAGCUACUGGGACCUACCUCCUGGAUCCUGCAGCUCCCCCUGUCUUCCCUUGUCACCAAAUCUCCAGCACGUGAGGCUUUGAUGCCCUGUCGUUGCUCAUUGUCCUGGCCCUCACCCUGACCCAACUGCAGCCGACGGGAAUGGUGUCAGUGGGGCCGGUGGCAUAACGAACAUUUUGUCUUCUCCCUUCGCUUGUUCCCUCCUGUAUCCCCUCCUGCCCACCCUGCUCUCUCUCUCUCUCACUGCAUCGCCUGCUCUGGGCACCAUCUGGUGAAUUUUGGGCUGUCUCAUCUCACCAACUGUCGUUUGUCCUGGCUGUGGUGUAAAUGCGCUCACGUUUUGCUUCAAAGGACCCCUAAACCACUCUCUUUGUGGACCAGCCGGGCUGUCGGAGAGGAGCCAAGCCGUUGGCACUCAGCAAGCAACAAGCAUUAAUAAAAGCAUUACAGUGAGGUUAGAGCCUCAUUAAAGUAAUGCUAACGAACCGGCUGCCUUCCAAAAGUAUGAAAUUUUUGCUAACACUUCCUCCUUCUAAUUUUAAGUAUAUUUAAAUCUUUCUAGGGAGGCAAUAUUCGGUCCUCCAGGCUACAGCAUAAGCAAAUCCCAUUUCAGAAGAGCUGCUCUGGAAGUGCACUGGUGCCCCUGGGAGUGUUCUCCAGCCCCAUCCUGCAGCCUCAGUGCCAUGACCACACAGUGGGGCUGCCCAGACCUUUUUCCCCCUGUGCAGUGUCCUGGAGCUCACUCUACAGAAGCCCCAGUGCUCCAGAGUGCCUGCCAGCACCGGGGUAUGUGGACUGAAGGCAGGGGCUGGACCCACUGCUGCCCCAUGCUCCCAGCCUUGGCCACAGCCAGCAGACUUGGGUUAGAGCAGCCAAAGGAACCCCUAAUUGACCCAGGCUGGCACGGGUCUGGCCCUGAGGUGCAGACAGUGCCCUUCAUCACAGCUCUUCUCCACUACUGUUGACUCGCAGAGACACUGGGAUGAAAGGCUUGGCAGCUCGCAUCUGCUGCUGGCACCCUUUGCCAGGUGUGUCUGGAGGGGGGUGAUCCCUCGGUUUGUGCCCUGUGGUCCACAAGCAGCGUCUGAGCUUUUGCUGGGUGGAGAUCGCUGGGCUCAGGGCUGGGACUGACGUGCCAAAGGGGCUUUGCUCUGGGACCCCCUCCAUCCUCCUCGAGCACCCUCAGGGCUGGCUCCAGGUGGUUCUCCUGUCUCCCCACGCUCCCCCCGGGCUGUGCAGCUCUGUGCCCGCCGCGGCAGACACCCAACUGCCCGCCGAGCCCGCGGCUCCAUUGUAAAGCAAAUUAAUUCGCCGCCGCGCCGAGGAAUAGCCGUGCUCUCGGGGAGGCUUGGCAGCAGCAGUGAGGAAAGCAGCUGCUCCAGGACUCACAGCCCCUUUUUAUUUCAUUUGCCUGGUUUUAGCAGCAUGUGAUGGGCACAUGAGCAGCAGCUCUGCCGGACAUCUCUCUGGCUGGGGGGCUGAAGCUGCUGUCUGCCCCACUCCUGUGUGAGCACACGGCUUCUCCCUGCUGGUCCUCCUCCUCUCAGCCCAGACAGGUUUUUAUUCUCCUACUCACUUUGAAGCAAACCCGGCAGUUUCAUUGUCAAAGGACAGUGUUUGAUGGAUGAAUCCCUCUCUUUUACCGUGCCUGAUAGGGAGGGUACAGGGCAAACAUGGUGUUUUAAACAAUAAAUACCACUUUCUUGUGUGGAAACAACCAGUCCAAAUGGUCUCUGCUAUGUUUAGAAGCCCGUUUGAAGGGUCUGCCUGAGGGAGAGGGUGUCAUCAGAAUGAACUCAGUGUUACAGCACUGCCUUAUGUGCGACUUGUUGCAGAGACUCACUGAGAGCUCGAUGAAGUUGCAGGUUUGUACUAAGGGUGUUCCCCCACUGCCUCCCGAAUCUUGUGGGUUAGAGGGGCUGCAGAGGCAAUUGCUCAGCUCCUGGGUGUCCAUGCCUGGGGCUGGCAGUGUCUGUGGGAGUUCAUGUCUUGCUGCAAGAUUUCCUCUUCAUUUCAAGCAUUACAACACAGAUUUUCCUCUUGCAAAGGCCCCAGCUCUGCAGACAGGCACUGUCCUCACUGCAGGGAAAUUAAUACGGUGUCUCGGAGCAAAGGUAAAACUAAACUACAUAAGUAAAUGUUUGCAGGAUCAGGACCUUAUUCAGGCAUAAAUCAGGUAGCUCCAGCCAACAAUAGAAUUACCUCAGUAUAAAAUCCCAUGUAAGCCAGUAAGAUCAGCUCCAAACCUGCUAUGAAUUUGCUUUUUGUUUCCAUGCCAAAAAUAUAUCACUUCUAACUGCUGCAAUCAGGGCUGGUCUUUUCAAUUUAUUUUUUUUUAAGUGCUUUUGGGCACAUUUAUUUCCCGUCACCAGCAGAUACGAGCGGAGCCUGACCCUCCUUCCCUUGGGCAUGUCCCAGCCUGCUUUUGCCCACAAUUAAUUGUCGCUAUCAGGGAAUAUUUUUUUCUUUCCUUGCCCUUUUUUGUUACUGCAUUUGGUAAACAAAGGGACAGCAGUGACGAUCCAAAACCGUUCUUUUUAUUUGCCUGGGAACAGAGUCAACUAUUUGUGGGUCUUUUGUUGCUAAUUUUUUUUCUCUUUUUAGCUGGUGACUGUUUAAACGGCUACUGGUACCUGUAGUGAGCAUGUACUGUUCUGUGGGAUUUGUCACCUGAUGGCACUGAAAAUCACAGAUGGGGCACUGAUGAGGACAAGGAGCUGCACAUGGAACAUACCAGGUCAAACCAAAGGUCCAGGGUGCAGUGGUCCCUUCUGUCCUUCCCAAAGAAUAUGAAAAUAGCCUGCAGGGUUUUUCUGGUGGCUGCACUUGCCUCAGUUUCCCCAGUUCUCAGCUCUCUGUUUUGAGGUGGUGCCCCAAGACAAGAAGCCUGGUGAUGUUUGCACCCGGUUGAGCCAGCAUGAGACUGGUUCUUGGAAAUGAGCUUGUCAAAACAGCUGGGAGAAGGAAGGCAGGGAGGGAUGAGAGAUAGAGAAAAGGAAGCUGUAGGCUCUUUUAGCUUGAGGGCAGACUUACACUGGCCUCUCCAUCCCUGGGGCCCAUGCAGCAGCAGAGCAGGCAGUGAAGCCAGCUUCUGGAAUGGUCUCUUCCUAGCAUAUACCAGUGUCAUCCCCACCUGCCCCUCCAACUACAACCUACAGGGUGCUCCGAAAACCCAGGCAGAGCUUCUCUGCCCCAUUCCACCAGGACACAGCCGGCUCUGGGACAGCACUGUGAGGAACAGGAACGCAUUUUCCAAGGGACAUUUAGGGUCUUCAGUUAUUUUUGAAAAUGGCUCAGAGGGUCCUAAUUCUUGUGCUGUACAAAAAGGCUGCCUGUGAACACCCUGUAUAGUGGGAGCUUUAUAGGUGCUGCCUGUAAGUUACCACCAGGUGACUGUAGCUGCUGUUACAGCAUUGGGCUUUGCUGGUGGCACACACAGAGCUUGGUGUCCUGGGGAUGUCUGAAAUGGGAGUCCUUCCCUUACACCACCCAGGGGACGGCUGGCUGGCAAGGGAGAUCAAUCACCCUGAGCUGGCAUCCUUCAGGAGCCAUUAUUUCAAUAGACCACAGAAGUGAGGCAGUGCUGGGGGAAGCCAGGUGUGGCUCCCAGAAGCUCUGCUGGAGCCCUUGCCCGGCGCCUGCCCUGGGGACGGGAGGAUCCUUGAGCCAGGCUCAUCUCCCAGGGGGGUCUGCAGAGCACCACCCU